GGGAGGUAGUGACAAUAAAUAACAAUACGGGGUUCUUUUGGAUCUCGUAAUUGGAAUGAGUACAAUUUAAAUCUCUUAACGAGAACCAAUUGGAGGGCAAGUCUGGUGCCAGCAGCCGCGGUAAUUCCAGCUCCAAUAGCGUAUAUUAAAGUUGCUGCAGUUAAAAAGCUCGUAGUUGAAUUUCGGGACCAUCAUGUCGGUCGUGCUUCAGUACGUACUGGUAUUGUUGGUUUCUCCCUUCUGACGAACCAUGAUGUCAUUUAUUUGGUGUUGUGGGGAAUCAGGACUGUUACUUUGAAAAAAUUAGAGUGUUUAAAGCAGGCUAACGCUUGAAUACAUUAGCAUGGAAUAAUGAAAUAGGACGUUCGAUCCUAUUUUGUUGGUUUCUAGGAUUGACGUAAUGAUUAAUAGGGAUAGUUGGG
rnacentral:rRNA from 1 species